GACGAACGCUGGCGGCGUGCCUAAUACAUGCCAGUUGAGCGCUGAAGGUUGGUACUUGUACCAACUGGAUGAGCAGCGAACGGGUGAGUAACGCGUGGGGAAUCUGCCUUUGAGCGGGGGACAACAUUUGGAAACGAAUGCUAAUACCGCAUAAAAACUUUAAACACAAGUUUUAAGUUUGAAAGAUGCAAUUGCAUCACUCAAAGAUGAUCCCGCGUUGUAUUAGCUAGUUGGUGAGGUAAAGGCUCACCAAGGCGAUGAUACAUAGCCGACCUGAGAGGGUGAUCGGCCACAUUGGGACUGAGACACGGCCCAAACUCCUACGGGAGGCAGCAGUAGGGAAUCUUCGGCAAUGGACGAAAGUCUGACCGAGCAACGCCGCGUGAGUGAAGAAGGUUUUCGGAUCGUAAAACUCUGUUGGUAGAGAAGAACGUUGGCGAGAGUGGAAAGCUCAUCAAGUGACGGUAACUACCCAGAAAGGGACGGCUAACUACGUG
rnacentral:rRNA from 1 species